rnacentral:tRNA from 1 species
GCGGAAGUGGCGGAAUUGGUAGACGCACCAGAUUUAGGUUCUGGCGCCGCAAGGUGUGAGAGUUCAAGCCUCUCCUUCCGCACCA